AACGAACGCUGGCGGCAGGCUUAACACAUGCAAGUCGAGCGCCCCGCAAGGGGAGCGGCAGACGUGUGAGUAACGCGUGGGAACGUACCUUUUGGUUCGGAACAACUCCGGGAAACUGGAGCUAAUACCGGAUAAGCCCUAACGGGGAAAGAUUUAUCGCCGAAAGAUCGGCCCGCGUCUGAUUAGCUAGUUGGUGAGGUAACGGCUCACCAAGGCGACGAUCAGUAGCUGGUCUGAGAGGAUGAUCAGCCACACUGGGACUGAGACACGGCCCAGACUCCUACGGGAGGCAGCAGUGGGGAAUAUUGGACAAUGGGCGCAAGCCUGAUCCAGCCAUGCCGCGUGAGUGAUGAAGGCCUUAGGGUUGUAAAGCUCUUUUGUCCGGGAAGAUAAUGACUGUACCGGAAGAAUAAGCCCCGGCUAACUUCGUG
rnacentral:rRNA from 1 species